UCUAUUGGAUGACCUUUGACCUGUUCUACAGUAUCAUGGAUGAUAUAAACACAGCACAGGUAUUAAAUGCUCUCAGCAUCAAAGUCUGAAUGAAACUGAUCAUUAAAACUGUGUUUAGAGCGAGAAGAUCGACCCAAAAUAACAUGAAGUAAAUCAUGAGUGUGUGUUUAUGAAAAUGAUAAACAGAAGUUUAUUAGCAAAGACACUAAAAGACAAAACAGUGUUUCUGCUGUCUUCAGGGAAAUGAUGUGGAGUGUGUUUGCAUAUUGAUCAGAUCUUCAGUGUGUGAGAGUGUUUAUAGUGCUGUGAGUUUAACACUUCAUCACUGACACACACAACAAUCUUCAUCAACAUGACCUUCAUCAUCAUCUUCAUCUGGACUCUCACAGCGUUUGCUCAAGAGUGUAGAGGACAGAUCACCGUCACUCAGAGUCCCUCAAUAACAGCAGAACAACCAGGAGGAACUGUCAAUAUCAAAUGUAAAACCAGCACAGAUGUGAGGAGAUUGAAUAAUGGGGAUGAAGGUGUAUUCUGGUACUUACAGAAACCUGGAGAAGCUCAUAAACUCCUGAUUCGUUAUGUAAAAACCCUCGAGUCAGGAACUCCAUCUAGAUUCAGUGGCAGUGGAUCUAACAGUGAUUUCACUCUGAGCAUCAGUGGAGUCCAGACUGAAGAUGCUGGACAUUAUUACUGUCAGAGUUAUCACUACAUCAACGGUAAUUAUUUGUUCACACAGUGAUAAAGAGUCGUACAAAAACCUCCAUCAGUCAGAGUCACAGUGACUGAACUGAAACUGCAGCUGCUCAAACACACACACACACACACACACACACACACACACACACACACACACACACACACACACACACACA